rnacentral:lncRNA from 10 species
AGAGAAGAGUGGAGGCUGAGAAGUCAGCAUGGGCACAGUCACAGGUCCAUGAGAGGACUGGGUUUUUCUGUAAGAAUGGCAAGUCAUCCAGCUGGAAGGCGAUGAAAGGCAAAGAUUGACCAGACCAAGCCCUGAGACACAGUGUUGAGAGCCAAGACAUAAAGUUGUGAAGAUUCAGACCCAGAGCCCAGCAGGGCACAGGCUGGAGGGGUGAUGUGAGUGAUCAGUAACACCAUGAAGACUCUGCUCCUGGGUCAGGAAUGCUUUUUUGUCCCUGUUUUUGGAUUUUCCACCAUGAUCAGCCAAUGCAGAAAGAAAUCUAAAGGUGAAGGAAAGGCAGCGUUCAGCACUGAGCAAGUCCAUGUUGGAGAAAGUUCACAGGGAAUUGGAAAUCCUUGUCUUCGUGGUUCCUGGCUCAGCAGGACCCCUGUGGGGCCUCUCCCUCUCUUGGGAAAGAGAUUGCUCUAGAAGGUUUACUACACCAGUGAGGAGAAGAUGAGCGCAAGGGGGAUUGGCCGGCUGAGGGCGAAAUCAAGACUGGAGCCAAGUGCGCUGAGCUCUCACAUGAGGUCCUUUGCUCCUGUUCCCUGGAGGC